AUGAUUUAUUGAUUUUAGUUAUAUAGUGUGUUCUGCUCUGGAGUGUGACUUCCGACUUAUAACUCGGCUACGGUCAGGCUAGGUAGUCCUUCUAUAACUCAGAACGUCCUCUCUGGAACCAGGGUGUGGUUGGCGUGGAACCUGCAAAAGGGACUCCAACGCCCAAGUCAGUAAUAUUACAAGACAAUGAGAAAUACUUUAAGAGAGAAUAAAAUAGAUGUCUUAUGUGGGCUGAAGUGUUUUAUUCUUCAGUGUUUAGAUGAGGAGAGAUCAGAGAAAAUCGUAUCCCCUAGCGGGGUUAGGAGGUGACUUAUAUAGACGGGAAAGCUUAAUGAUUUUACCGUUAUACUGACCUUGAUAGUAGGGCUGUUAUGGAUAUUUUCUGUUGUUCCCUUAUAUCUCGGUAAGUUUGGAAGAUUCAGCUAUUAUCGGUUAGUUUUGUAGAAUUAUUCAAAUUUGAUCUUUUCUGUUUGUGGUUAAGCUCGGUCAAAGCUUCUGGAAUCCAAGUACUUCGGUAUGGAUCACAGCCCCCAAGCUUGGCCUGUGAAAAAACAGGUUGAGCUUUUUAUGUUUUCCGCUUUUUGAAGCUUUAUUGUGACCGUAAUGGAGCCCCCAAGUUCAACUUGUUUUUUGUUUUUUUUUUGUUGGGCUAUUAUGUGUUGGGCUUUGAUGCGCAGUGUGAUUUUCGUUCCCGCUUCCUUUGUUAGUAGUUUUAUGAAACGUGGGAUAGUGGGUGUCUUGGGAGUUGGGGUUGUCUCUUCAACUGGUUGCUGUGUUUGCGUUGGAGUUUAUUACAUUGCUCUUAGGACGCGUCAUGUCUAAAAAAGGUUAGUAAAUUGUAUUUGUCUGUUGGUUUUCUUUUCUUUGUAAAAAUGGGGAAGAAAGAUACUGUUGCUAUUGAUGAGGGUGAUGUCUAUAGCUGGGUUGAUAGUGAUGUUAGGGGUCGCGUAUCUGUGUUUUGUAACGAUGAGCUUGUGAAACAAUUGAAUGAGGCUAACUGGGUAAGGCGUGGGCAUGAUUUUGAGGUUAGGUUUCUGCCAUGUAGUGAGAAUGAUAGAGUUUGUGAGAAAAGGUCUGACUGGAGCUACUUCUAUAUGUAUACGUGUUUGUUGACUGAACUUGGUAUACGUUUUCCUUUUACUGACUUCGGGUGUGGAGUUUUACACCAGUUAAACUGUGCUCUGACACAAUCGCACCCAAAUUCCUGGGCAUUCGUUAGAGCUUUUGAAUGUCUAAUGGAUUAUUUGGAAUGUUAUCCUUCGCUUGGUUUAUUUUUCUCUUUGUUUCAAGCUAAGGGUGUUCGUAGGGGUGGGUGGGUGAAUUUGAGUGGUCAUCCAAAUCUUUCAAAGAUUUUAAAGAAAUGUUUGUUAAAGUUCAAAUCAUUGAAGGUUUUUAUCCCUUCUUCUUGGACUCGUUGCUUGAGGAGAGAUUUCCAAUUUUUUGGUCUCCCGAGCCCAAACAAGUUUUAGAUUGGAAAGUAGGGUUUCUAGCGAAGAUUUGCUGUUAAAUUUUUUGAUGUUUGCAAUGUCGUCUUCUUCUUUACUUUCUACGUCUACUCUUCUGGAGCUUGAAGGGGAUAAGGAGGCAUUGGAGGAGUAUCUAGGUAACCUGUAGGUUUUGUUGUUUGAACUGUGGUUUGGUGUUUUUAUCUUAUAUGGUGUUUGUGUUUGUUGUGUAGGUGAGAAAACUUUCACGCUCACUACGGCGAAUUUGAAGGCUUUUGUUUCGAAGAACAAAAAGAAAGAAAAGGAGGGAUCCUCUACCAAGAUAGUUAAAGAAGGUGAGGGAGGUGUGGGGAAGCUUGAUGGAAGUUUUAAGAGGAAGAGAGGUGAUGGUUCACCAAAGGUUGUUGACCUUACUGCUACGAGAGAUGGUUCUGCCAUUUUUACUCUUGAGGAGAUAAGUGCUACUUAUGAGAGUCAGGUGGUUCUUCAUGGUUAUAGGGAAGGUCCGUGUAAUUCUCUAUGGUCCUCUGGGUACCCGUUUAUGGCUGUGGCUGACGAGGUUGCUCAGGUGGAUUCUGAUGUUAAAAUAAUUCAUGAUGUAGGAAAGGUUGGGGUUGCUCGCUAUUUACAGGUAUAUUUUCUAGUGUGCUUUGUCUUUUUGCUAUUGUAAAUGCUGUUUUGUGAUGAUUCCUUUUUCGUAGGUGAUUGGGGCUAGGCUUCUUUCUAUUGGUCGGACUUCAGAGUUGGAUGAUAUCUUGGAGGGUGAUCAGGUUGCUGCAAUUAAGAAACUGAAAGAGUCUUUGGAGGAGAGGGAUGCUCGGGCUGAGAAGUUAAAAACUAAAGUUAGGGGGUUGAAGGAGAAGGUAAAGAAUGUUGAGUCUGAGCUUCAGAAAGUUAGGCGAGAUCUUGAGUCAAAAGUUGAGGAGGCUGAAAAGGCAAAUGCUCAGAUUCCUGAGCUGCAAGAGGAGGUUUUGUCAGCCUUUACUCUUGGGUUUGACCGUGCUAUAGCUCAGAUAGGAGUGUUAUCUCCCUCUUUUGAUGUUAGUAAAUUAGAUGUUACAAAAAUUGUUAGUAAUGGUCAGUUGCUCGAUGAUGAAGCUCUGUCCGAUAAGGGGGACGGGAGUGCUUCUGUUGGGAAAGUAGACUGAAGAAGUUUAUCAUGUUUUAGUUUGUUUUUUUUUUUUUUGUAAAACUUUUUGUAAAGCUUGUUGCUUUCUUUUGGAACACUGGAUAAUGUGUAGUUGACUUUGUUAUGGUUUGGUAGACCAUGUUUGUACUUUUUUUGAGUUUUGAAAUGAAUGGAUUUGAUAGUGUUGUUUUGUUAUACAUAUGAAUAGUUUGUACAUGUUGUUUGAUAUGGGUGUGAGGGACCUCAUUAAAACCUCCUCCAGACAAAACCCUAUGUGGAAAAAAUCCUGGGGGUAGGAAAAAUAGUAUCUCUUCAUGUUCAUAUCACUUCUAUGAUAAGUAAGACUUCAAAGAGGAAAUGUUCCAGAUUCCUGGGACUUCUUCGCCUUCUAUUGUCUGUAGUUUGUAUGCUCCUUUUCCGAGUACUUUGAAAACUCGGUAGGGUCCUUCCCAUGAAGUUGCUAGUUUGCCAUGUGCAUGUUGUCUUCUUGCUUCCUCUGUUUUUCUGAGGACGAGGUCCUGUUCCUGGAAUGCUCUUGGUUGUACUUUCUUGUUAUAUUUUCUUCUAAUUAUUUGUUGCAUUGCGAGCUGUUUUAUUCGAGUUUUCUCUCUGUCUUCGUCGAUCGUGUCAAGCGCUGUGCGUCUGAUGUUGUCAUUUUGUUCGGUCGAUAUUUGAUUUCUACGUGUUGACGUUAUUGAGACCUCAACUAGGAUCAUGGCAUCUGCUCCAUAUACCAGUCUGAAUGGUGUUUCUUGUGUUAUGGAUUGAAUUGUCGUAUUAUAACCCCAGAGUACCUCUGGUAUUAACUCGGCCCACUCUCCUUUUGCAUUGCCGAGUUUUUUCUUAAGAGAGUUGAGAAUAACUUUGUUGGCGGCCUCUACGAGCCCGUUGGUCUAUGGGUAUUCCACUGACGAGAAAUGGUGUUUUAUCUAGAAUUCAUUUAAAAAAGAAGCUAAACUUUGGUCGGUAAAUUGCCGACCAUUGUCAGUGAUAAUAUGAUGUGGUAUACCAAAGCGACAAAUGAUGUGUUUCCAAAUGAAAGAUCUUACUUUAUCAACUCCUAUUUUUGCUAAUGGAGUUGCCUCUAUCCAUUUGGAGAAGUAAUCUAUUGCUACGAGUAAGUAUUUUACCUAUCCUGGUGCUUUUGGAAAAGGGCCGAGGAUAUCUAGCCCCCAUUUUUGGAAGGGCCAGCUUACCUCCAAGGUGUGUAAUUGCUCUGCCGGGUUGUGGAUGGCCGAGCUGUGCUUUUGGCAGCUGUCGCAUUUCUUGACUUUAUUGAUGUAGUCUUUUUUCAUGGAUGGCCAGUAGAAUCCUGCUCUUGCUAUUUUGGAUGCUAGGCUUAGUCCUCCUAUGUGGUUGCCACAUAUCCCUUCGUGGGCUUCGUUCAUAGUGUCUUCGGCCUCUUCUUUGUUUAUACAUUUUAAAAGGGGUUGGGAGAACCCUCUUCUGUAUAGCUCGUUUCCAAUCAUAGUGAAGGAUGUUGCACGUCUUCUAAAUGUUUUGGUAAGGGAUCCUUCCUGAUUGUAUGUAUUGCUUGUAUGGCGCCCUCCAGUCUUCUUCCUCGACUACUGAAAAUAUUGAUUUGCUACUAAAGCUAGGAUUCGUGAGUGUUAGUUGAGAUAUAGCAAAAUCAGUUACAAGCUUUCUGGUUGUUGCUAAUUUUGAGAGUGCAUCUGCUCGGGUGUUAUGCUCCCGAGUUAUGUGUGUGAUUUGUAUAAAAUGAAAGUGUGUGAGGAGCUCAUUUACUGAGCUGUGGUAUUUUUCUAGUAGCUGAUCCUUUACCUGAAAGUGGCCUGUUACCUGCUGCACUACGAGUUGCGAGUCGCAGUAUACUUGUAGGUGGGUAAUGUUAAGGGAUUGCGCCAGUCUUAGUCCAGCGAGCAGUGCUUCGUAUUCGGCUUGAUUAUUGCUUGUCUGGAAUGUGAAUCUGAUGGAUUGCUCGACUUGUAAAUCUUCCUUGUUGGUGAGUAAUACCCCUGCUCCAGAACCUUCGUUAUUGGAAGCGUCGUCGACAUUCCGCUCUGGAGUGGACUUCCGACUUAUAACUCGGCUACAGUCAGGCUAGGUAGUCCUUCUAUAACUUGGAACGUCCUCUCUGGAACUGGGGUGUGGUUGGCGUGGAACCUGCAAAAGGGACUCCAACGCCCAAGUCAGUAAUAUUACAAGACAAUGAGAAAUACUUUAAGAGAGAAUAAAAUAGAUGUCUUAUGUGGGCUGAAGUGUUUUAUUCUUCAGUGUUUAGAUGAGGAGAGAUAAGAGAAAAUCGUAUCCCCUAGUGGGGUUAGGAGGUGACUUAUAUAGACGGAAAAGCUUAGUGAUUUCGCUAUUAUACUGACCUUGAUAGUAGGGCUGUUAUGGAUAUUUUCUGUUGUUCCCUUAUAUCUCGGUAAGUUUGGAAGAUUC
rnacentral:lncRNA from 1 species